rnacentral:rRNA from 1 species
GGUUGAUCCUGCCAGUAGUCAUAUGCUUGUCUUAAAGACUAAGCCAUGCAUGUCUAAGUAUAAGUAUUAUACAGCGAAACUGCGAAUGGCUCAUUAAAACAGUUAUAGUUUAUUCGAUUAUUUUCUUCUACAUGGAUAACCGUAGUAAUUCUAGAGCUAAUACAUGCUGUUAAACCUGACUUUUGCGGAAGGGUUGUAUUUAUUAGAUAUAAACCAACACUCUUCGGAGUUUUGUGAUGAUUCAUAAUAACUGAACGGAUCGCGGCCUUGCCGCGACGAAUCGUUCAAGUUU